GUCCUUAGCAUACAGGAGGUCCCUGGCAGAUAUCUCUUGAAGAGCAGCAGGGCAAACAGGAAGAUGUAGUGGGUGCUGAGAUCUGGUGAGAGUCAGUAAUGAUGAUGAAGACUGCUUAAGGACGCAAGGCAGGGAGUAGGCAGCCAAGGAAAUUGACAUGGGUGAGCCUAGAAUUCCAUGCCAGGGGAAGUAAAGUAAGGCCUGCAGAAUGACCAUAUAUCCAUUCCUUUAUCUACUGUCUCGGUGCCCUUUUUUUGGUGGUGAUAGGGUAGAGUUGACAGGGUUGGCCUGGAAUCUACAGUCCUUCUUCUAAGCCUCCUAAGCCCUUUGUACUGUGUAGGCAGAGAUGAAUAGUUGGCCACAGAAAGGAGUUACAGCAUAUACAGCCUGCUGAGCUGAGUUGCUUUUUACUUUUCAGACAGUUUGCUGGAUUCCGCUGUAGAGGAAUAAGGCAACGACGACGAGUGCAGCUACCUCCGGGCGGUGUUCUAAAGCACCAGUGCUUACUCGGUGCUCUGUUGACCAAGGACUGGCCUAAUUGGGAAAGUUAAUAUGAGAGUAAUUGAGUAGAAUAGAGCUGUGGGAAGGGUCUGGACAUAAGAAACCUCCUAUAAAGAUAUUGCAGCCAUCAGUUGAGGUAUCUUUGAACACAGAAUAUCCUUUAAGUCGUAUCUGAAACAGCCUGGCUCAAUGUCCCAGUUCAUGUCACCCACAUCGGGGUCCACCUGCAAGCUCUUUCUCACACCCUUGCUUUGUCCUUGUGGUCUCUGAGUUAAACAGUCAGGUUUAACUCAGUGUGUUGCUUGCUUCCUGGUGACAUUGCCUUUAUAACUGUUCUUGGGCCCCAAGUGACAGUACCUGAGCCCACCUUUGCUAUUCUUCUCCUGCCAUCUGUGUGUAAAUGUGUUUUUUUGUCUCCCUCCCGAAGGUUCCUUGAAGGCUGGGACUGCGCUCACACUCCUGUGCUCUCAGGGAUUAGCAUAAUGCUUUUCACAUAGCUGGUCCUUUCUGAAUGUUUGAUGAUGGUACAGCCACUGAGCAGGAUGGAUGUGUAGGAGAAAACAUACCCUCUCUCGUUCUAUAAAUUAGUCAGAAUACAUCAGGCUAAUAACAGUAAGAGUGAGCAUCUGUCAGUCUGAUGCACCAACAUCUAUCAGACAAAGCAGUUAAACCCAUGUCAGUCAUUUUGAUACAAUAAAACUAAAAUUAGACACAGGAUAAAUACACUCAAGAUGAGAGCGUUUAUCCCAGUGUUGGUUUCAAGACUGAUAGAAGCAGAAGCUGAAGCAUCCUGGCUCUGAAAUCUGGUCAGUAGACAGCUGUUCAGUGGGGAGCCAGUCUGGGUGGCAGGAAGUAGAGGGCUGGGGCUGGAACCCCGAGACCAUGUCUAAGGGCUGUGAAAUAUAGAAGUUUCAGGAAUGCAAAUAGAGUUUUGUUUAGUAAUAUUCUUUAGUGGUUUUAAAUGUUAAAAAUCUCAGUGAAAUAGUUAAUUAGCUCUAGCAACUGAAGUUUAAAACAGAAGAUUAAUUGAUUAUUAUGGCUGUGCUUAUUUUUCUUCCAUUUGUUCCAGAAAACCAAUGUUGGUACACCAAGUUUGCUUCUUAAGCCUGACUAGAACCAUUCUGCCUGGAGUCCAUUCUUCUUUCAUCUUCUUGUAGCUUGUGCAGUUUCGCCUCUGAAAUCCUUUGGCAGUGCUUUCUCUAAACUCCUGCUAUCCCAGGCUCAUCCUGCCCCAGGACUGUGCCGGUUCUUAGGGCUCUCUCUUCCCUUAACCCACCUAGGCAAUACCAUAUAGACAAGGGUUUAACUUUUCUUUUUUUUUUCCAUUUUUUAUUAGGUAUUUAGCUCAUUUACAUUUCCAAUGCUAUACCAAAAGUCCCCUAUACCCACCCACCCUCACUCCCCUACCCACCCACUUCCCCUUUUUGGCCCUGGCGUUCCCCUGUACUGGGGCAUAUAAAGUUUGCGUGUCCAAUGGACCUCUCUUUCCAGUGAUGGCCGACUAGGCCAUCUUUUGGUACAUAUGCAGCUAGAGUCAAGAGCUCCGGGGUACUGGUUAGUUCAUAAUGUUGUUCCACCUAUAGGGUUGCAGAUCCCUUUAGCUCCUUGGGUACUUUCUCUAGCUCCUCCAUUGGGAGCCCUGUGAUCCAUCCAUUAGCUGACUGUGAGCAUCCACUUCUGUGUUUGCUAGGCCCCGGCAUAGUCUCACAAGAGACACCUACAUCUGGGUCCUUUCGAUAAAAUCUUGCUAGUGUAUGCAAUGGUGUCAGCGUUUGGAUGCUGAUUAUGGGGUGGAUCGGGUUUAACUUUUCUUACUGUUUAAAGAAAUAAAAAAUUGGGGCUUUAGAGAUGGUUCAGUGGGCACAGUACAUGCCACACCAGUCAGGAUUCCUAGCACCCAUGUAAAAGCCAGGUACAGCGGACACACCUGUAACCUAGCACUAGGACUUUGGAGACAGGUGAAUCUCUAGAACUUUCUGGCCAGCCAGGAUGGCUAGAUCAUUGAGUUCCAGGUUCACUGAAGAGAUUCUGUCUCAAAAAAGAAAGAAAAGAAAAGAAAAAAAAAGUGGGGAAUGAUAGAGGAAAAUAUCCAGUGUAAGCCUCUGAUUUCCACAUGUGUGCUCAUAUCUAUGCACAUACUCCAGCCCCCAAAAUUAAAGAUUGAAAAGACCCAAGCAUUUGAUUUCCUGCAUUAGUUGUUUGGAAUCUGGCCUCAUUUUAGAUUU
rnacentral:lncRNA from 1 species